rnacentral:rRNA from 1 species
UACGUAGGGUGCAAGCGUUAAUCGGAAUUACUGGGCGUAAAGCGUGCGCAGGCGGUUUUGUAAGUCUGUCGUGAAAUCCCCGGGCUCAACCUGGGAACUGCAUCUGUGACUGUAUAGCUAGAGUACGGUAGAGGGGGAUGGAAUUCCGCGUGUAGCAGUGAAAUGCGUAGAUAUGCGGAGGAACACCGAUGGCGAAGGCAAUCCCCUGGACCUGUACCGACGCUCAUGCACGAAAGCGUGGGGAGCAAACAGG